rnacentral:rRNA from 1 species
UGGUGGAGUGAUUUGUCUGGUUAAUUCCGAUAACGAACGAGACCUUAACCUGCUAACUAGUCUUGCUCAUUUCAUGGGUACUGACUUCUUAGAGGGACUAUGUGUUAAAAGCACAUGGAAGUUUGAGGCAAUAACA